rnacentral:piRNA from 1 species
UGAUUUUCUCUUUAAUUGUUGAUGUAGUA